CGGGACGGGUGAGUAAUGUCUGGGAAACUGCCUGAUGAGGGGGAUAACUACUGGAAACGGUAGCUAAUACCGCAUAACGUCGCAAGGCCAAAGAGGGGGACCUUCGGGCCUCUUGCCAUCGGAUGUGCCCAGAUGGGAUUAGCUAGUAGGUGGGGUAACGGCUCACCUAGGCGACGAUCCCUAGCUGGUCUGAGAGGAUGACCAGCCACACUGGAACUGAGACACGGUCCAG
rnacentral:rRNA from 1 species